rnacentral:lncRNA from 1 species
GUUAAUGCCUUAUUUAUAAAAUGUAAAAACAAAUAAGAAUGUGCUGGGGGUGGGAGCUGGGCGUGUUUUCCAGGGCUGAUAACAUUGAAAACUGGUUCAUCUUCUAGUACUCGAGUGGUUUUCAAUGGCAUGGCUAGUCAAAUUCAUGAUUUUUAAGUAUAGGUGUAGAUUGGAGCAUUUAUUACAUAUUUUACUGUUCAAUGUCUUAAUGUGGACCUUUUAUUUUGUAAAUAAUUAUGGAAAUGAUUGUGGGGCUUGGAAAAAAAUACCUUUGAAGUUUUAAAAGACAGUCCACUUUUUAGCAUGUGUUGUGUCCAGCCUGG